rnacentral:lncRNA from 1 species
GAUAUACUAUACAAAUCCUUGGUCACAUCCAGUUGCUUAGGGACGACAUCAAAAGUUCAAUGUAGGAUAAAAAACUUAAUUCACAUAGUUUUUUCGCUGACCCCCUACCCCCCUUCUUAACUUAAUUUGGGAAAAAUUUAUUUACCUAUAUGGAUAUAUGUAAAAUCGAUUUUAGAUAAACAAAACAUGCAGCAAUGAUGACCCCCACCCCCAAACUAUUCGAUUUAAGUUUUUUAUCCUACAUCGAUCUUUUGAUGUCGUCCCUUACAAAAAAAGGGUUAGAAAAAUAAUAUUUCCUUGAGUUUGACAGUUGUAGGAAAUUAAUCCUUCAUUUCAUUGCAGUAAAGAAAUUCUGAGUCAUAAACAUAUAUCAUGUAUAUCUUGGGUGUUUCAAAACAUCAUUCUUUUUUUAUUAUAAAUUUUUUGGCCCCCUAUUUUCUCAUUUUAUAAAUUUUGUUUUGGAAAGCUACUUAUCACGUUAAAAUAUUCCCUUAGGUUUGAAUGAACUUCAAAACCAUUAAUUUCAGAAAAUGGGUGAGAUUAGGAGGUUAAAAGGGCAUCAAAAACGUCAAAAGAAGAAAAAAUAACAAUUUUUGGCCGUUGUUUCUUAAAAUUAAACAGCGUGCGCCUACGUGACCCAGAAAAAAAUAUGGCAAUUUAGACAACAAAAACAGUUUUCAAGACAUUGGAAUAAAAAAAUUCCUGGGUCACAUUGGCGCAGGAACUAAAAAAAAAUUAAAUUUGUGGUAAAAUUACCUGCAAAAUGAAUAAUAAUUACAAUAUUUAAAUAAUAACAGAAAGUUAACCCCCUAACCUCACCAAGUUGCGAAAAUUAGUGGUUUUGAAGUUCAUUCAAACAAACUUCAACCCUUAGGGAAUGUUUUAACAUAAAAAGUAGCUUUCUAAAACAGAAUUUGAAAAAUGAGAAAAUAGGGGGACCAAAAACAGGCCUUUUCGUAAUUGUCCUUUUGUCUGUAAUGUAGUACUGGACAGGAUAAAAGUGUAAUCAUGCCAAGUAUUUAUUUAUUUGAAACAAAGAUAAAUUCUGCAUAAUUUUUUUAAAAGUGCAUAUUGGAAAAACAAUGGUGGUGUUAUACCUCAAAGCCACCAAAACGAGACCAUGUUUUUCUAUUGAAAAUAUAUUGUCGC